rnacentral:lncRNA from 1 species
UUUUUUUUUUUUUUUUUGUCUUUUUGCUAUUUCUUGGACCGCUCCAGCAGCAUAUGGAGGUUCACAGAAAUUCAGACUUAUCCUAAAUCACAGAUCACUAAUAUUAUUAUUAGGUAUCAUUAGUCUCAUUUUAAUGUUGAGGAAACUGAGGCUCAGCCAAUAGAGUUAUUAAGUAGCAGAAUGGCGUUUUGCCAAGUGGUUCUGCACUUAGAUCCUAUACUAAUUCCACUACAUCCCCUUUCCUGUUUGAGUCUAAGCCACAAAAUGAAAGUAAGAUUUCAACGCUGAGUAUGCAGUUAAAAAUAAAUGACAUGUACAGACUCUUUCUUCAGCUCCUUCCAAAGAAUAAAUGUCAUUAUUUCUGAAAAGCAGUUAAGCAGCAGCAUUUACUGUCAGGAAAACUGAAGGGGAAAGUGAACUACCCUAAGAUACCCUAGUCAAUGGAAGUACCAAAAGAGACCAAGGGAAAGUGACAUUCACACUGUCAGCCAGUCUCGGUGGGCAUCCCAAUGGAUAAUCACAAAAUAAUCUGAUUAGCAAAUCCUGACACCCUGGCCUCUCCCAAUGCUUUAAAUAGAAAACUUUUCUUGUAACAAUAUCUCUCCCAGGCCAUGUGCAAUACUCUGACUCUUCAAGCAGUGAGACAGGCACAAGGAACCCCAACUCUGUCUGGCUGAUGACCUGCGAAAGGAACAAACAGCGAUCAACUCUAAAUUACUUACUCAAAGGCUUUGUAUAUACAAGCCCAGAAGCAAGAAACACAGCAGCCUCAUAAAUUUUGCUUCCUAGUAAUAACUGAGUGGUCUGUCUAGUUUCACACCCGGAAACAAGAAACCUGGAGGAGCAAGAGACGUUUAAGGCUGCAAGGAAUGCAUCAGAACUCUUUUGUGAGCUGCUAGUAUAGGACUCUAAAAAAGACAAAAGAGAAGGAAGACUAUCCCACUGUCAGACAGCAACUGCUUCACAAAUCUAGGUGUCUGAAGCACAGGUUCAAACUGGCUUAUUUAAAAGACCAAGUACUAGCAAGCACUAUGAUCACAGCCUUGCAAAUGCUAUUUUGUUCUGCUGUUACUUGCCCAGCCCCAAAUGUCCAGACACAGAAAUCAAUUCCUCAGUUUUCUAUUACCAUCAGCUAACAAAAAACUCUGUGCUUGCCCUUAAAAACUGGGAAAAAGAGAGAGUACUGCCCUGUUCAAUUUUUGGAAGAGCCAAGCUUGGACUAACUUUGCCACUUAUUAGCUGUAUAACUUCGGUCAAGCCCCUCAACCUUCCAGAGCCUCGGUUUCUCUAUCUGUGAAAUGGGGAUAAACAAUGGGCUGUAUAAAUAAAAUGAAUUAAACUGCACUUGACAAUAUUAUCUUAGUCUCCUUGCCCUUCUGAGGAAUACAUUUAUGUGCCAAGUACCUAACUUAGACUGUUGCCCUUUAGAAAGGAGAUAUGUUUAAUAUCAUAGAAUCUAUGAAUAUUAACAGCAGAAUGUUUUCCCUGUCCCCACUCUAGUAUCUAAUGCAACUUGCACACAUGACAGACGAGAUACUAGCAUUCAGUAAGAUUUUAAGUGCAGGGGAGGAUGCCUAGACCCUUCCAAGAUAAUAAGACUUAAGCCGAGUUUCCAUGUGGCUCAGAGGGCUAAGGAACCAGCAUUAUCAUUGCAGUGACUUGGGUAGAUGCAGUGGCAAGGGUUCAGUCCUGGCCCAGGAACUUCCACAUGCCACAGUGCGGCAACCCCACCCCCCAAAAAAAGACUUAAGACAACCUAGAGGAACAUCUAAUUUUCCC